GUAAGCUACUAAGAGCAAGUGGUGGAUGCCUUGGCUAGUAGAGGCGAUGAAAGACGUGCCAGGCUGCGAUAAGUCUCGGGGAGCCGUCAAGGGGCUUUGAUCCGGGAAUUUCUGAAUGGGGCAACCCAACUAAUAGAGAUAUUAGUUACCGUAUAACGGAGCGAACGAGGGGAAUUGAAACAUCUUAGUACCCUCAGGAAAAGAAAUCAAAAGAGAUUACGCUAGUAGCGGCGAGCGAACGCGUAAGAGGGCAAACCACUAGUUUACUAGUGGGGUUGUAGGACUGCAAUAUAGACUAAACUUAGCUAAUAGAACAACCUGGAAAGGUUAGGCACAGAGGGUGAUACCCCCGUAUAUGAAAGCUUUGUUUUACUUAGCAGUAUCCUGAGUAGGGCGGAACACGUGAUAUUCUGUCUGAAGCUGGGUAGACCACUAUCCAACCCUAAAUACUACUACUAGACCGAUAGCGCACAAGUACCGUGAGGGAAAGGUGAAAAGAACUGAGGUGAUCAGAGUGAAAUAGAACCUGAAACCAUUUGCUUACAAUCAUUCAGAGCCCUAUGAUUUAUCAGGGUGAUGGACUGCCUUUUGCAUAAUGAGCCUGCGAGUUGUGAUGUCUGGCGAGGUUAAGGAAACCCGGAGCCGUAGCGAAAGCGAGUCUUAAUAGGGCGUUUAGUCAGACGUUGCAGACCCGAAACGAUGUGAUCUAUCCAUGAGCAGGUUGAAACCGGUGUAAGAGCCGGUGGAGGACCGAACCCGCUAGCGUUGAAAAGCUAUGGGAUGACUUGUGGAUAGGGGUGAAAGGCCAAUCAAACAUCGUGAUAGCUGGUUCUCUCCGAAAUAUAUUUAGGUAUAGCGUCAUGUAGUAACACUAGGGGGUAGAGCACUGAAUGGGCUAGGGCAUACACCAAUGUACCAAACCCUAUCAAACUCCGAAUACCUAGUGUGUAAUCAUGGCAGUCAGGCGGCGAGUGAUAAAAUCCGUCGUCGAGAGGGGAACAACCCAGACUAACAGCUAAGGUCCCUAAAUCUCAUUUAAGUGGAAAACGAUGUGGAGUUACUUAAACAACCAGGAGGUUGGCUUAGAAGCAGCCAUCCUUUAAAGAAAGCGUAAUAGCUCACUGGUCUAGUGAUUCUGCGCGGAAAAUAUAACGGGGCUAAAAUGAGUACCGAAGCUUUAGACUUAGUUUUACUAAGUGGUAGGAGAGCGUUGUAUUUGCGUUGAAGGUAUACCGGUAAGGAGUGCUGGAGCGAAUACAAGUGAGCAUGCAGGCAUGAGUAGCGAUAAUUGGGGUGAGAAUCCCCAACGCCGUAAACCCAAGGUUUCCUACGCGAUGCUCGUCAUCGUAGGGUUAGCCGGGUCCUAAGCAAAGUCCGAAAGGGGUAUGCGAUGGAAAAUUGGUUAAUAUUCCAAUGCCAACUAUAAUGUGCGAUGGAAGGACGCUUAGAGUUAGAGGAGCCAGCGGAUGGUAGUGCUGGUCGAAAGGUGCAGGUUGGAGUUCAGGCAAAUCCGAACUCCUUUAAGCCGAGGCCUUACAGGUGCGUGAAGUUCUUCGGAAUGAAUCGUAAAUCCUUGAUACUGUCGAGCCAAGAAAAGUUUCUAAGUUUAGUUAUAGUUGCCCGUACCGUAAACCGACACAGGUGGGUGGGAUGAGUAUUCUAAGGCGCGUGGAAGAACUCUCUUCAAGGAACUCUGCAAAAUAGCACCGUAUCUUCGGUAUAAGGUGUGCCUACCAAUGUGUAAGGAUUUACUCCUGAGGCAUUGAAGGUUACAACAAAGAGUCCCUCCCGACUGUUUACCAAAAACACAGCACUCUGCUAACUCGUAAGAGGAUGUAUAGGGUGUGACGCCUGCCCGGUGCUCGAAGGUUAAUUGAUGACGUUAGCUCUGCGAAGCGUUUGAUCGAAGCCCGAGUAAACGGCGGCCGUAACUAUAACGGUCCUAAGGUAGCGAAAUUCCUUGUCGAUUAAAUAUCGACCUGCAUGAAUGGCGUAACGAGAUGGGAGCUGUCUCGAAGAGGGAUCCAGUGAAAUUGUAGUGGAGGUGAAAAUUCCUCCUACCCGCGGCAAGACGGAAAGACCCCGUGGACCUUUACUACAGCUUGACACUGCUAUUGGGAUAAAAAUGUGCAGGAUAGGUGGGAGGCUUUGAUCCAUAGACGCCAGUUUAUGGUGAGCCGUUGUUGAGAUACCACUCUUUUUUAUUCUGAUAGCUAACUAGCUUGAGUUAUCCUCAAGUAGGACAAUGUCUGGUGGGUAGUUUGACUGGGGCGGUCGCCUCCCAAAAUGUAACGGAGGCUUACAAAGGUUGGCUCAGAACGGUUGGAAAUCGUUCGUAGAGUAUAAAGGCAUAAGCCAGCUUAACUGCGAGACAUACACGUCAAGCAGAGACGAAAGUCGGUCUUAGUGAUCCGGUGGUUCUGUGUGGAAGGGCCAUCGCUCAAAGGAUAAAA
rnacentral:rRNA from 1 species